ACUGCAUUUGAAAUGAUAGAGGAAAAUUGCCGAUUGGUCAUUUCUGCAUUGUUGCACUUUUGGCUAAGGCCCAGUUGCAAUGUCCAAUGAUAUCAAUGAGUGAUGUGAUAUUUAAGUUAUUCUUAAAGCACAAGUUUAAAUUGUUAGUACUUGAGAUGGUAAGACGUGCAAAAAUAGGGUAAUAACCUUUUACAGGUACCUCAACAACACCUGCUCCAGGAGGACUAAUGAGGUUAGACAAAAUGUGAUCCAUGAUUGUACCGUUGCCAUAAAGUGGAACAUAAGUAGGUGUAGUUACGAGGCACUCAUAGCCAUACCCACUAAAUGACAAGACUUUUAAACACAUCACCUAAAGCUAAGGAGAACUUCACGAUAGCUGAUGAUGAGUUGCAACGUGUCCGUUUGGUUUGCUCUGCUUCUUGAUAAGCAAGAUAAGGUAGUCAUGGAGGUAUUGCAAUAUUCCACUAUCGCCAGGACAGGCGCAUUUUAGUUGGAUGAAACGUACUGGGCUGACACUGGAAAACGAUUAAUCCACAAUCAAAUAUGGAUUACUUGGGACCACAGAGUGCUUGGAACGAAUGGUGGGAGUUCCAGCAUCUUGCUGGUGC